CCUACGGGUGGCAGCAGUGGGGAAUAUUGGACAAUGGGGGGAACCCUGAUCCAGCGACGCCGCGUGAGUGAAGAAGUAUUUCGGUAUGUAAAGCUGUAUCAGCAGGGAAGAAAGGAAUGACGGUACCUGACUAAGAAGCCCCGGCUAACUACGUGCCAGCAGCCGCGGUAAUACGUAGGGGGCAAGCGUUAUCAGGAUUUACUGGGUGUAAAGGGAGCGUAGACGGUUACGCAAGUCUGGAGUGAAAGGCGGGGGCCCAACCCCCGGACUGCUUUGAAUACUGUAGAUCUGGAGUGCAGGAGAGGUAAGUGGAAUUCCUAGUGUAGCGGUGAAAUGCGUAGAGAUUAGGCGGAACACCAGUUGCGAAGGCGGCUUACUGGACUGUAACUGACGUUGAGGCUCGAAAGCGUGGGGAGCAAACAGGAUUAGAUACCCGUGUAGUC
rnacentral:rRNA from 1 species